rnacentral:rRNA from 1 species
UACGUAGGUGGCGAGCGUUGUCCGGAUUUACUGGGCGUAAAGCGCGCGCAGGCGGUUCGUUAAGUCCGGUGUGAAAGCUCCCGGCUCAACUGGGAGAGGUCAUUGGAUACUGGCGGACUUGAGGGAUGCAGAGGAAGGUGGAAUUCCCGGUGUAGUGGUGAAAUGCGUAGAUAUCGGGAGGAACACCAGUGGCGAAGGCGACUACCUGGCCUGUUCUUGACGCUGAGGCGCGAAAGCUAGGGGAGCAAACGGG